rnacentral:rRNA from 1 species
CCUACGGGGGGCAGCAGUAAGGAAUAUUGGUCAAUGGACGAAAGUCUGAACCAGCCAUGCCGCGUGGAGGAUGAAGGUCCUCUGGAUUGUAAACUUCUUUUAUAUGGGACGAAAAAAGGCUUUUCUAGGUCGUCUGACGGUACCAUAUGAAUAAGCACCGGCUAACUCCGUGCCAGCAGCCGCGGUAAUACGGAGGGUGCAAGAGUUAUCCGGAUUCACGGGGUUGAAAGGGGGUUGAGAAGGGUUGGUUGAAAUCCCCGAGCUUAACUUGGGAACUGUCAUUGAUACUAUCAGUCUUGAAUACCGUGGAGGUCAGCGGAAUAUGUCAUGUAGCGGUGAAAUGCUUAGAUAUGACAUAGAACACCAAUUGCGAAGGCAGCUGGCUACCCGAAUAUUGACACUGAGGCACGAAAGCGUGGGGAUCAAACAGGAUUAGAUACCCGAGUAGUC